rnacentral:rRNA from 1 species
AGCGCAGGCGGGAAGACAAGUUGGAAGUGAAAUCUAUGGGCUCAACCCAUAAACUGCUUUCAAAACUGUUUUUCUUUGAGUAGUGCAGAGGUAGGCGGAAUUCCCGGUGUAGCGGUGGAAUGCGUAGAUAUCGGGAGGGAACACCAGUGGCGAAGGCGGCCUACUGGGCACCAACUGACGCUGAGGCUCGAAAGUGUGGGUAGCAAACA